AUACGGAGGACGCGAGCGUUAUCCGGAUUCAUUGGGUUUAAAGGGUGCGCAGGCGGCCGUGCAAGUCAGCGGUGAAAGCCCGGGGCCCAACCCCGGAAGUGCCGUUGAUACUGCAUGGCUUGAAUGCGGUCGAGGCGGGCGGAACGUGGCGUGUAGCGGGGAAAUGCGUAGAUAUGCCACAGAACGCCGAUAGCGGAGGCAGCUCGCCAGGCCUGCAUUGACGCUCGGGCACGAAAGCGUGGGGAUCGAACAGGAUUAGAUACCCUGGUAGUCCACGCCGUAAACGAUAGGCGCUCGUCGUCGGCGGCAGACAGUCGGCGGCCAAGCGAAAGCGAUAAGCGCCCCACCUGGGGAGUACGGUCGCAAGGCUGAAACUCAAAUGAAUUGACGGGG
rnacentral:rRNA from 1 species